rnacentral:lncRNA from 1 species
GAGUCUAGAAGCAAUCUCUUUUUGAUGCAAAAGUGAAGAGGAAGAGGAAGAGGAAGAGGAGGGAGGGUCAGUCAAUUUGGAAAAGGUGGGGUCUGAAUUCUGACAUUAUGUUGGUAAUUUUUUGCUCUUCAGAAUCACACAAUGAUACAAACAAAAGCUGUGACCUUCGGCCCUUCACUUUUACCACCAUAAUCAUCAUUUUAAACGAAGACUGACC